UAAACGACUCUCGGCAACGGAUAUCUCGGCUCUCGCAUCGAUGAAGAACGUAGCGAAAUGUGAUACUUGGUGUGAAUUGCAGAAUCCCGUGAACCAUCGAGUCUUUGAACGCAAGUUGCGCCCGAAGCCAUUAGGCCGAGGGCACGCCUGCCUGGGCGUCACAC
rnacentral:rRNA from 1 species